rnacentral:rRNA from 1 species
GUACCAUCACCGUCCCGUCGCUACUACCGAUUGAAUGGUUUAGUGAGGCCUUCUGACUGGCGCCGAUACUCUGGCAACAGAGCGCCGGAUGCCGGAAAGUUGGUCAAACUUGAUCAUUUAGAGGAAGUAAAAGUCGUAACAAGGUUUCCGUAGGUGAACCUGCGGAAGGAUCAUUACCGAUGAUAUUCGUCCAAAACUACACAGUUGUACCUUGUGAACCGUACCAAACUAUUCAGGGGUCGGCUUGUCCGUUAAAUGGUCGUCGGACGCGAGAGAUCGCGGUCCGCUCGACCGGCCCCGCACGCGUUUUGUUUUUUAUAAACAUAUGUGUACCUGUCUGACCAAGCAGUUGCGGCCUGGCCCAAGGGUCGGUCGCUGGCAAUUAGAGCAAAAAACGAGAUACAACUUUUGACGGUGGAUCUCUUGGCUCACGCAUCGAUGAAGUAACGCAGCCAGCUGCGAUAUAGUAGUGUGAAUGGCAAGAAUUCAGUGAAUUCAGUGACAUCAUCGAAUCUUUGAACGCAAAUUGCGCUCUUGGGUUCUCCCAGGGGAGCAUGUCUGUCUGAGUGUCGGAUAUCAUCCAACGCACGCCAGCGUGCGGAAUUGAGGCGUCACGGUCCGUACUGCACGGACCGUGUCCCUUGAAAGUCAGAGAGACUCGCCGCGUCGCGGGAAGAUUCCCCGUGCACACCAGCGGAGGCUAAAAUGUCUUUUGCCCUUCGCGUGCCGGGAAGUCGCCGCGUGCGGCGGUCGUCGUCGGGCGAACUUUAAUUAUCUUGACCUCAGAUCAGGCAAGGCUACCCGCUGAAUUUAAGCAUAUUAAUAAGCGGAGGAAAAGAAACUAACAAGGAUUCCCUCAGUAACGGCGAGUGAAGCGGGACCAGCUCAAAUUUGAAAUCUCCGAUGCCUGCAUCGGCGAGUUGUAGUUGCGAGAAGCACUUUCUAGGUGGAUCGGUCGUGCCUAAGUUGCUUGGAACAGCACGUCGCAGAGGGUGACAACCCCG